GUUAAAUUAAAUCCAAUUUCUUUUUUAGCUAAAUUUUAAAUAUCCAUAGAUAUGUAAGGUGUAGGAGUUAAAAGCCAAAGAAAUAUACAAACAAAAUGUUUUUGUUACACAUUGGUCUCUGGAAGCUUUGAAAAACGAUUUCAACACAGAAGGGUACAUUAUGUAGGGGAGACAAUAAGAAAAAAAAAAGUUUUUGCAACCAGAACUUUCACACAGUUUCAAAACAAGUUUAUUUCUGGGGGUAUAAUCAGUACAUUAGUAAUUCUAAUACUGUUAAUUUAUUAUUAAAUUUAAAUUAUAUUGUCUGUUACUACUUCAAAGAUUUCAACUUGAGAACUAGACUAUUCUGUUUUAAAAAAAAAAAAAAAAAAA